AUCAUUAAUUACACCAAAGAUUAAGAUUAUAGUUUGAUUAAGAUUAUAGACUUCUUUUAACGUCACAUUAAGUUCCACAGGUGUUAAAUAUUCAGAUAGAAUGAAAGUGAAAGUGAAUGUUUAUAUUUUAGCGAUCAGGAGGGGGUUUAAAAAAAAAAAAAGAAGGUGUUUGUAAUGUGUGUCUUCAUCUUCACAUAAACCAUCUUUUCUGUUUUCUCAUCAGGUUUUCAAAUCUUCUGCGGCUGCUGUUCUGCUUUAUCUGUUACAGUGGAACCCCUCGUGCAGGAACUAAACUUGUACAUGUGACAGGAAAAAAGGGAGACAGCGUCAUCCUGCCGUGUGAAUUUAAGGCCACACAGAUUUCUCAUUAUCAUUUAAGCAGUUGGUCAAAAACGAUCUAUGUUUGUCAGAAUGAAGAAUGUGAAAGUGAAAAUGGCCGAGUAUUUAAACAAGGAAACUGUGACGUCGUCAUCAAGGAUCUGAGCUUCAGUGACGCAGGGAAAUAUGUUUUGAGAGUCAAUUACAAUAAUGCUCAGUCAAUGCUGGAGCGACUGACCCUGGAGUACUAUCUUCAUAUUCAGGGAUCCGGUACAGACUCAAAGGGAAACCAAACAGAUGAUGACAAAACUGAUGACACUAAACAAGUUUCUGUACUUGACUGGAUUAUGCGUGUUGGAAUGGGUUUUUCUGUGCUUCUGCUUGGUCUGGUUCUGAUUACAUUCAUCAUCAGGAAUCCCCAACCGGUACACUAUGCAUUUUACGGUUAUAAUAAUUUCAGACAAUAUAUGUUGUUGAAUAAUGUGGUUCAAACGACUGGGAUGUGACCGUGUUCGGGAAGCAGUCGUACUAGUUUGUUUCCACAACAAUGCAUCAUACUGU
ensembl:lncRNA